AACGAACGCUGGCGGCAGGCUUAACACAUGCAAGUCGAGCGCCCCGCAAGGGGAGCGGCAGACGGGUGAGUAACGCGUGGGAAUCUACCCAUCUCUACAGAAUAACGCAUGGAAACGUGUGCUAAUACCGUAUACGUCCUUCGGGCGAAAGAUUUAUCGGAGAUGGAUGAGCCCGCGUUGGAUUAGCUAGUCGGUGGGGUAAAGGCCUACCAAGGCGACGACCCAUAGCUGGUCUGAGAGGAUGAUCAGCCACACUGGGACUGAGACACGGCCCAGACUCCUACGGGAGGCAGCAGUGGGGAAUAUUGGACAAUGGGCGCAAGCCUGAUCCAGCCAUGCCGCGUGAGUGAUGAAGGCCUUAGGGUUGUAAAGCUCUUUCACCGGUGAAGAUAAUGACGGUAACCGGAGAAGAAGCCCCGGCUAACUUCGUGCCAGCCGCCGCCGUAACAC
rnacentral:rRNA from 1 species